CUCUGUCUUUCCUUUUUCAUAUUAAUUGUGUGUGUCUUCUUCUGAGGUUGCAUUUUUUCAGAGCUCUCUAAGCCAAGCCAACAUGCAUGACUCUCAUCCACACUGAAAGUGAAACCAAACCAAGUACCAGGUCAGGGUACGUUUUCUUGCACUCUACAUGUUAUGUACUUACGAAGUUGUAGGAAAUGAGAAAUAAAUUUCAUUCUUCAUUUUUUCCAUUUCUAUUUACAUGUUCCUACUUUGGUACUAUGAAUAUGGUGUUAUCUUGUUUAUCAUAGUACGUGCUUUAGAUUUUAAUUUAUGUUCCCCUUCCAUGUUUUAGUUUUUUAACUUUUUUUUUUUUUUAAAGGGCUUACAUGUUUUUUUAGUUGUUUUUAUAUUACAUUAAUCAAUGUUUUAGUACACGUUACGAUGCAUGUUUUAUUUUUUUCCAAAGAUUUUAUUUUAUUUUAUUAUCGUUUUCUAAUAAUUUUGAGACAUGCUACUCAGCUACUGGUAAACACAGGCAAGCUCAUAUGAUUGAGCAAAAUUGGUUUUUACUUGAUUGUUAAGCAAUGUUUUUUGCUGUGUUUUUAUGCUCUCAGCAAUUUUCCAGCUAACAUUUUGUGAUCCCAAUUUGACAUCCCGAAUCUGAAAAUUGAGAUCUUCCAUGGUUUGUUCGUCUGUUAUAUCGUAGUUAUUGAUAGCACAUCACUUGACACUCUAAGCUGUUCCUACUGAUUUGCAACUCAAAACCAGCAACCACAGCUUAAUAGUAGAAAAAUAAUCUUGUUAUGCUAAACAGUGUCCGAGGAGGCACCGGUUAAACAUCCAAAACAAGAAAGUUUUAUAAAAAUGUAAUCAUUUUUUGAUCAAAAGUAACACUUUAUAUUUCUAAGACAAACUUUAUAUUAUACCGUACCAUGUCAGUAUCUAAAUCCAUUUCAAACAUAGAAUGGAAAUAAUAAAAUCUUGUAAAUUAUUUAGUGGCAUCAAAUAUAAAAAUGUAAGUAAAAAUGGAUAAAAUAUAAGUUGAUGUAUUUGAUAUAAAUUUUGAACUAGAUAAUUGACCAAUUUUUUUUUCAUAUAUUUUGGAAUGGAGAACGUAUAUCUAACUUAUGUUCAACUGUCUAAUCAUAUUCCUUUUUUUUUUUUUUCGGUUAAGAAUCAUAAUUCAACUAUGUUGCGGUAUUUCUUGUCAAAAAUACACUGGUGACAUAUCUGGUAUUUAUUAUUGACUUAUUUUGACGUUAUAUUGUUGCCAGUACUUGCUAGAACGCUUGGUUUUUUUCUUUUUUCUUUCUGGGAUUUUAUAAAAAUUUAAAUUAAAACCAGGGUUUUGCUAAGGUGUCCAAGAAUGAUGUUUUAUUAUUCCAUUAAAUUGUUGGGUCUUUCUAUUUUUCAUUACCUCGUGUAGGAAUUCAUGCAGCGUUAGUUAAAGUUAUUGCAAUUCAAUCAUCAUAAGCUCAGACUCAUAGCAUCAUAUCACAGAUAUGAUUAGUUAAUUGUUUACAAUACAACAAGGGAUUCAUGAAAAUACUAGAGACUCUAUAAGCCUAUGACUGGAUUCAUUAGAACAUAUCGCAGUUUGAAUUAAGGUAUGUUUGGAUUGACUUACUUGAGCUUAUCUGAUAACAUAAGCACUUUUGAGACUGUUUGGGAGAAUCUAAGAAAACAACUUAUGACAUGUUGUAAGCUAUUUUCAGCUUAUUUUCAUAAACUCUCCAGGAUAGCAUAUAUGAAAACAACUUGACUUUAUUUUAUUUUUGUUAUAGAAAUUGUCUUUAGAUGUGCUUACAUGAUAGGUGUUUAUGCUAUAAUCUUUUAAUUAAGUUGUUUAUCUAAACACAACUUUUAUAGAUAUGCCAUAUUUUAAAUAAUGCCAUAUUUUAAGUAAUUAUGUAGUCAUUCAGAAUUUUUGUUAGAGCUUAUUGGGAGCAAGCAGACAAACCAAUAAAUAUUAGUUAGUACCCCAGUAAAUAUUGGUUAUGUACCUCAGUAGGGGAGGACCUUUUGGUCAACCUGCUUGGUAACUUUCUUUUCUCAAGUCAAUUUUUCAUGCAACCAAUCUUAAUCUGACUAUAUUUUGUAUUGGGUGUGAAUUAGAGCUAGUUCAUCAUAUAUGAAUUCACCUGUUGUAAACACACCUGGGACCGGGUAUGCACUAAUGAAACUAGCUUUGUGCUGUAUGUCUGUAAAGAUUUGGGCUGUUGGGUGCUAAAUAAACCAUCUCAUCAAGUAGGAAACCAACUAAGAGUUCAACAAUCCGCAAAUGAAUAUUGGGUUCGCUGCUGAGAAAAGAGAAACUGGGCGAAGUCCUAUUUCAGUUACAAAACCGGGUGAAGUCAGAGAGAGGAAAUUACUAUGGUUCUUUACAGUUAGUAUUCUAACCAAAUCAAACUUGUACUAGGGAAAACCUUCUUGGGUUAUCAUGUAGACUAAAAUGGCAAGUCAUAUAUAGUUAGUAGAUUUUUUUUGACCGCGUAAUUGUGCCCUAACCCACCAACCAGGUGAGUCUCUGCUUGGAGGUCAGUCAUGGUAGGUGUCAUGUGUGAUCUAAUGUUGGGUUACAAAGCGCAAGAAACAUUUUUUCCUGAAAAAACGUAAUACUUACAAGACUGUGUAUUUGGCAAGUUAGUCCAAUCAUGUGGGAUCAUCUUCACUUCUGAGGCCUUGAUCAAGUCAAACAGUGCUUGAUUAACCUGAAUUUUGAAAUGUUUUAGCUCAUUUUCAAUGCAUCUUUAUAGACAAAGAACAAUGUGCAAGUUCUGCAGUAAGUGUGCUAUAUACAGUUCAAUUCAUUAGGUAUAUAUUACAUGCCAAUUAUACCUCUUCAGGCCGCUCAUGACUCACUAAAUGACCUCCGUGAAGCUCUACCAGCCGAGCCAUUGGAUGAAACCUCUCCGCAAGUCUUCUUGCAUAAUAUAGCUGAGCAAUUAUAUCAGCCCUGAAUGUGCAGCAAUCUCAAGUUAAAACUAUGAAAUCGAUACUAAUGUGUGUGACUGGUGUGCAGCAUUUUCAUGCAUAUUUUGCCUAAUGCAUGUGCAAAUAAUCUGUCCUGAUUGAAUGUCAAGUUUCACUUAUAAAGCACUGCAUUAAUGUCUCUAUACACAGUACACACCUGCCAUGAAUGACUGAAACAAGAAAACCUGCAGAUUUGAUUGCU